UUAAAAUUUCUAAUUUUUGUUAUUAAAAAGGUUUUGAAAACCUUUAUAGGGGAUACCCCCAACUUUAC
rnacentral:tRNA from 1 species